rnacentral:ncRNA from 2 species
CACGUUUUAUAAGCGCCAGAGCUUCAAGGGGGAUGACGCCUUCCAAUCUUAUUUAUAAGAAUGGGGAAGGGUCACACGAGGAAGCUGACGAGGUGAAGGUGUUCGAAUUAUUCGGCGGGGACCUUCCGGUUAUAGCAAAGCCAACCGAAAGCCGAUACGCAAAAAGAUUGGGCGACCGAUCUCACAAACGUCCGGCAGGCUGCACU